UGGGGAAUAUUGGACAAUGGGGGAAACCCUGAUCCAGCAAUGCCGCGUGAGUGAAGAAGGCCUUAGGGUUGUAAAGCUCUUUCGCCCGCGAAGAUAAUGACGGUAGCGGGAGAAGAAGCCCCGGCUAACUCCGUGCCAGCAGCCGCGGUAAUACGGGGGGGGCUAGCGUUGUUCGGAAUUACUGGGCGUAAAGCGUACGUAGGCGGAUGCGCAAGUUGGGGGUGAAAUCCCGGGGCUUAACCUCGGAAUUGCCCUCAAAACUGCACGUCUUGAGACCGAGAGAGGUAAGGGGAAUUCCUAGUGUAGAGGUGAAAUUCGUAGAUAUUAGGAAGAACACCAGCGGCGAAGGCGCCUUACUGGCUCGGUACUGACGCUGAGGUACGAAAGCGUGGGGAGCAAACA
rnacentral:rRNA from 1 species